CCUACGGGUGGCUGCAGUGAGGAAUAUUGGUCAAUGGGCGCGAGCCUGAACCAGCCAAGUCGCGUGAAGGAUGAAGGAUCUAUGGUUUGUAACCUUCUUUUAUAUGGGCAUAAAGUGAGGAACGUGUUCAUUUUUGUAUUUACCAUAUGCAUAAGCAUCGGCUAACUUCGUGCCAUCAGCCGCGGUAAUACGGAGGAUGCGAGCGUUAUCCGGAGUGAUUGGGUUUAAAGGGUGCGUAGGCGGUCGGAUAAGUUAGAGGUGAAAUCCCAGGGCUCAACUUCGGAACUGCCUCUGAUACUGUUCGGCUAGAGAGUAUUAGCGGUAGGCGGAA
rnacentral:rRNA from 1 species